rnacentral:rRNA from 1 species
UAGUCAUAUGCUUGUCUCAAAGACUAAGCCAUGCAUGUCUAAGUAUAAGUAUUAUACAGCGAAACUGCGAAUGGCUCAUUAAAACAGUUAUAGUUUAUUUGGUGAUCUCUCAUUACAUGGAUAACCGUGGUAAUUCUAGAGCUAAUACAUGCGUACAGGGCCGUUAGGCUUGUAUUUAUUAGAUAACAGACCAAUUAAGUGGUGACUCAUAGUAACUGAUCGGAUCGCACGGGCUUGCCCGCGAUAAAUCAUUCAAGUUUCUGCCCCAUCAGCUGUAGAUGGUAGUGUAUUGGACUACCAUGGCUUUCACGGGUAACGGAGGAUUAGGGUUCGAUUCCGGAGAGGGAGCCUGAGAAACGGCUACCACAUCUAAGGAAGGCAGCAGGCGCGUAAAUUACCCAAUACUGAUUCAGUGAGGUAGUGACAAGAAAUAGCGGGCCGGCCAAGUGCCGGGACUGAAAUGAUUAGAAUUUAACGACCUUUACGAGGAACAAUA